AUGGGUCACACCAUUGGAGUUGCAGAUGAUGAAAUAGCAGACAUACCAUGUUCAGAUGCUUCACCAAUUCUGACCGAAUAUCACAUCACAGUCCCUACCCUUCACGAUGGACUAAUGCAAGGGGCAGACCAGCACGAGAGACGGCUUCUGGAUGUCCUCAAAGCAACGCCUUCAGUGCAAUGGCUGAAGGACAUCAACGUCUGCGGUCCACUGGGAAAAAUUCAGCUGCCAUCGAUCGGCGUCCACCGCUACCUCCAUGUCCACUUCAUCAGAACAGUCGACUGGAGCUCACUGCUCGCCAUCUGCAAGAACCACCUCAAGCAUCCUCUCAACAUCGCCCUACUCAUCUGGCUGCUCUGCGUCGCCGCCGCCGGCGCCAUGCUAGGACUGCUCCUGUUGGGGCUGCUGAACAAGGCAUUCCCUUCCAGGGCCUUGAGGCACCACUGGAUAGAGAUCGACAACCAGAUCCUCAACGCCCUCUUCACGCUCAUGAGCAUCUACCAGCAUCCCAUCCUCGUCCACCACCUCGUUCUCCUCUGCCGGUGGCGGCCGGAGGACGCCGCCCAGCUAAGGAAGGUGUACUGCAAGAAUGGCGCCCGCCGUCCCAACGAGCGAGCGCACAUGUCCUUCGUGGUGGCCCUCCUCCACGUCACCUGCAUCUCGCAGUACAUGGAGUGCAGCCUCUACUGGGGCUACCCAAGCAGGUCGCGCUCCGAGCUCGCGGAGAACUUCUUCUUCAUCCUCGGCGUCGCCGCGCCGGUCGUCGCCGGCGCUCACGCGGUGUACAGCCCUCUAGGCAGAGACGACGACGCCGCCGCCGCCUCCUGCGAAGAGACCAAGCAGCUCCACGCAGCCGGAGCCGAAGAAUCGCCGGAAGAAAUGACGGUGGUCGGCAACCCGAUGUGGGCGGGGGAGCUGCUGGACUGCGGCGAGGACCCGGCGGCGUGCUACCUGUCGUUCCUCUGCACCUUCUGCGUGUUCGGCUGGAACAUGGAGCGGCUGGGGCUGGGCAACAUGUACAUGCACACGGCCAUGUUCCUGCUGCUGUGCGUCGCGCCCUUCUGGGUGUUCAACGUCACGGCGCUCAGCAUCCACGACUACGCCCUCAGCGAUGCCUUCGGCGCCGCCGGGGUGGUGCUCUGCUUCCUCGGGCUCCUGUACGGGGGCUUCUGGAGGAUGCAGAUGAGGAAGCGGCUCGGGCUGCCCCGGAGCAGGUGGUGCUGCGGCUCGUCGUCGCUGACGGACUACGCGCAGUGGCUCCUCUGCUGGCCGUGCGCGCUCGCGCAGGAGGUGCGCACGGCGAACCUGUACGACCCGAGGGGCGACGGCGGUUUCUACGGGAAGCUGGUGGACGGCGGUGACCCGGAGCGAGGGCCGGACGUGCCGGUCUCCGCUGAAGUGCAGGAGGUGGUCGGCGGUGUUGUCAAUCCGACGGUGGACGGCGAGAUGAUCCCGCCCGUGCAGCCGGUGGUGGAGUCUGGACGGCAGAGGCAAGCCGGCCACGAAGAAAUUGUUGCAAAUGGCAGUAGCGUCCAGCUCAAAAGUUGA
rnacentral:rRNA from 1 species